rnacentral:rRNA from 1 species
AUGACGGCCUUCGGGUUGUAAACCUCUUUCGCAGGGAAGAAGCGAGAGUGACGGUACCUGCAGAAGAAGCGCCGGCUAACUACGUGCCAGCAGCCGCGGUAAUACGUUAGGGCGCAAGCGUUUGUCCGGAAUUAUUGGGCGUGAAGANCUUCGUAGGCGGCUUUGUUGCNGUCGGUUUGUGAAANCCCCGGGGCUUUAACCCCCGGGUUUUGCAGUUCGAAUACGGGCAGGCUUAGAGUUUCGGUUAGGGGANAAUCGGANNNUCNUGGUUGUUAGCCGGUUGAGANUGCCGCCAGAAUNUCAGGGAGGGAAACACCCGGUUGGCGAAANGCCGGAUNUUUUGGGCCCGACUACUUGACGCUUGAAGGAACCGAAAAGCCUUGGGGGAGCCGAAACAGGAANNAGAAUCCCUUGGUUAGUUCCAAGGGGCCGAAAAUCNAGCACAAAGGGCCGGCCG